GGCCGAGCUAGCAUUACUGGCUCAGCUUCCCAAGCUGAUAGCGCGGGUUCGAUUCCCGUCAUCCCCUCCA
rnacentral:tRNA from 1 species